UAUUUCAGGGAAGGUCCCAGGCCUGUCCACCUUCAUUCUCCUCUUGGCUAUGCUUCUGGUUUUCUAGACUUCAAUGUCACGUCUCUAUGAAAAGAAUGGCCCCAUCUUUUUUCAAUGAAUGUUAAUCAAGAUUCUCAUUGGGGAGAAUAAGAGAAGGAAGAGAUAUAGAAGGAGGUUUGAGGAAGAAUGAAAAGAUUUAGAAGAGCUGUUGUGCAUUAGGUGAAUGGGAGCAGCCCCUGGAGAGGAGAAGUCCCAACUUCCAUCCACAGCUUUUUUCAGCCCAGAACUCUCAGAAAGGGUUCCCAGCCUACCAGAAAGGUAAAACCGUGUGUGUGGAGCAGACAUCAGGAGGAGGGCGGCUGUCAACGUUGAGACAGAGGCUCUGAAUUUGGAAAAGAAACAGCAGGAGGAGGGUG